GGUUGACCUCGGAUCAGGUAGGGAUAC
rnacentral:rRNA from 5 species